GCGUUGGUGGUAUAGUGGUGAAAAUAGCUGCCUUCCAAGCAGUUGACCUGGGUUCGAUUCCUGGCCAACGCA
rnacentral:tRNA from 1 species